GAUCUACCCUUUUUCUAGUUUUGCAGCCUUUCCGCUAGUGCUGUUCGAGCAGAUGACAAGCUACGUCAGUCUUGCACUGGCCCAGGCCAGGCGGCAGCGUCGUUGACAGUAGGCUGACGGUGAUGACUUGUUUUGGUUCUGGUCAGGAUUCGCCGGCUCUGGAAUUAGGUUUUGCUCGCCGGCUCGGUCUUGCAACGACACCAGUAUCAGUAUUCUGUCGAAAAUGUAAUAAAAAAUUCUGGAGACCGAGUUUACUGGUAUACUACGAGUAACAGUUACUUGAUUUGAUUGCCGCCAUCACUACUACAGUACUAUACUACAUGUAGCUUGGCAGCGGUACACCAGGUACACUGGACUCCGCUAAGCCAUUCUAAUUUCUAUUCGCGAGCUAGCUGAGUGUGUUUCUGCGCUACCCCCUGCUAACCGCUAAGAGUCUUGAGCUCUGGACUGGACAGACGACUCAGAUAGCGGUCGUUACUGGAGUGCAGUGCGCAUCUAUCGCUGAGUGACUGGCGGCAUUAGGGAGUUGCGGGUCCAUGUGUGACCAUGGAGGACUAGUCUAUGGUAUGGAUGAGCGUCCCGUCCGCCUGCUAAGUGCGCCGCAUGCAGCGAGCCAUGCGGAGAUACAAAGGAGAUUGUGGUGGUCGUGGAUGAUGACCUUAUUGCCGAGUUGAUUGCCCACAAGGUGAUUUCCGCCCGCGCGACCGAUAUACAUGUAGUCUGAAGUUGAAUGGAUGAUGACCUAGUACCUGGAAGGGGAUAAGUGCCGGCUCAGUCGAUCAGUCUCUCAGGGAGAAAGGACUUGAGGAGUGAAACAUUGCAGAUGAGCCAGCGACUACAUCCCUCUAAAGGCAGGCCACUGUAUGUAUGUCAGCCACCCGUUUAGCAGCAAGUUGGCGUUGUAGCCGCAAUGUCGCCUGUGUUUGCUCAGAAACACACAUAGCGACAAUCCACAGGCACAUGGCGGGGACCGCUGGGGAUUGCGUGGCUCAUUGACUGCUCUCUCCUUCUAUGUCCUGACUGCUCUCCUUCCUGCUCUCUCCUUCUAUGUCCUGACUGCUCUCCUUCCCUGCUCUCUCCUUCUAUGCCCUGAGAGGUUUGUCUUGCCCUGAAUCAGACCCUGAAUCCGUGGGAAGUGGGUCUGGAAUUCUAUAUCGCGGCAUACAAACAUUUAAAAUGAGUGGACUGUGCAUAUCUUGUAUUACUUUGUGCCCAUGAUUUGACCAAAGACAAGCAACUAUAUGCUCUCCAUGGUGUCUAUGAUUGCAUUGCUGCCAGUCUUGCCCUAUACUUGUGUGAUCACUUUUUUCGAGCAUUUUUUUGUAUGAAUUCCUCCUCUCCACUAGCUGUUUCACUGCUUUGUGAGCUGCUGUUGGUAGUACCGUACUGGCUUUGCCUAUUUCUUUCUAUGGCCACAGUCAAGUUUUCCUGCCUUCAGCCACAGACCUUUUGAUGCUUCCCACUUAGCCAUUUUAUUGUCAGCCACAGACCUUUUGAUGCUUCCCACUUAGCCAUUUUAUUGUUAUCAUUUUUUUGUGUUCGUUUCUUGCUUUCUUGCUUUCCUGCUUUCCUCCUCUCCCUUUCCCUGUGCUUUGUGAGUGUGCAUGACGUUUGGCUGGGGUGGUGGGGGCCCAGGUGGGACAAUGUACUUUGAACAUCGUUUCUUGCUUUCUUGCUUUCCUGCUUUCCUCCUCUC